AAAGUCGUAACAAGGUUUCCGUAGGUGAACCUGCGGAAGGAUCAUUACAAAUCGAUGGAGAAUUGAAGUGUUGGAAAGUGGGACUAUUUAAGAAUGAUUGUAGUUUACAACAAAACCAAAAAAUAACAACUUUUAACAAUGGAUCUCUAGGCUCUU
rnacentral:misc_RNA from 1 species